AAGUCGUAACAAGGUUUCCGUAGGUGAACCUGCGGAAGGAUCAUUAAGAAUUUAGAUUGAACCAUGGGCGAAAGCCAGUGGUUCUUACUUUCAUAUCCAUAACACCUGUGCACUGUUGGAUGCUUGCAUCCACUUUUAAACUAAACAUUAUUGUAACAAAUGUAGUCUUAUUAUAACAUAAUAAAA
rnacentral:misc_RNA from 1 species